UAACGCGUGGGCAACCUGCCUUACNCAGGGGGAUAACAAUUAGAAAUGAUUGCUAAUACCGCAUAAGACCCCAGUACCGCAUGGUACAGGGGUAAAAACUGAGGUGGUGUAAGAUGGGCCCGCGUCUGAUUAGGUAGUUGGUGGGGUAGAAGCCUACCAAGCCGACGAUCAGUAGCCGACCUGAGAGGGCGACCGGCCACAUUGGGACUGAGACACGGCCCAAACUCCUACGGGAGGCAGCAGUGGGGAAUAUUGCACAAUGGGGGAAACCCUGAUGCAGCGACGCCGCGUGAGUGAGGAAGUAUUUCGGUAUGUAAAGCUCUAUCAGCAGGGAAGAAAAUGACGGUACCUGACUAAGAAGCCCCGGCUAACUACGUGCCAGCAGCCGCGGUAAUACGUAGGGGGCAAGCGUUAUCCGGAUUUACUGGGUGUAAAGGGAGCGUAGACGGAAUUGCAAGUCUGAUGUGAAAAUCCGGGGCCCAACCCCGGAACUGCAUUGGAAACUGUAUUUCUAGAGUGUCGGAGAGGCAAGUGGAAUUCCUGGUGUAGCGGUGAAAUGCGUAGAUAUCAGGAGGAACACCAGUGGCGAAGGCGGCUUGCUGGACGAUGACUGACGUUGAGGCUCGAAAGCGUGGGGAGCAAACAGGAUUAGAUACCCUGGUAGU
rnacentral:rRNA from 1 species